CAAGUCGAGCGAACAGAUAAGGAGCUUGCUCCUUUGACGUUAGCGGCGGACGGGUGAGUAACACGUGGAUAACCUACCUAUAAGACUGGGAUAACUUCGGGAAACCGGAGCUAAUACCGGAUAACAUAUUGAACCGCAUGGUUCAAUAGUGAAAGGCGGCUUUGCUGUCACUUAUAGAUGGAUCCGCGCCGUAUUAGCUAGUUGGUAAGGUAACGGCUUACCAAGGCAACGAUACGUAGCCGACCUGAGAGGGUGAUCGGCCACACUGGAACUGAGACACGGUCCAGACUCCUACGGGAGGCAGCAGUAGGGAAUCUUCCGCAAUGGGCGAAAGCCUGACGGAGCAACGCCGCGUGAGUGAUGAAGGUCUUCGGAUCGUAAAACUCUGUUAUCAGGGAAUAACAAAUGUGUAAGUAACUGUGCACAUCUUGACGGUACCUGAUCAGAAAGCCACGGCUAACUACGUGCCAGCAGCCGCGGUAAUACGUAGGUGGCAAGCGUUAUCCGGAAUUAUUGGGCGUAAAGCGCGCGUAGGCGGUUUUUUAAGUCUGAUGUGAAAGCCCACGGCUCAACCGUGGAGGGUCAUUGGAAACUGGAAAACUUGAGUGCAGAAGAGGAAAGUGGAAUUCCAUGUGUAGCGGUGAAAUGCGCAGAGAUAUGGAGGAACACCAGUGGCGAAGGCGACUUUCUGGUCUGUAACUGACGCUGAUGUGCGAAAGCGUGGGGAUCAAACAGGAUUAGAUACCCUGGUAGUCCACGCCGUAAACGAUGAGUGCUAAGUGUUAGGGG
rnacentral:rRNA from 1 species